rnacentral:rRNA from 1 species
AUUGAACGCUGGCGGCAGGCCUAACACAUGCAAGUCGAACGGUAACAGGAAGCAGCUUGCUGCUUCGCUGACGAGUGGCGGACGGGUGAGUAAUGUCUGGGAAACUGCCCGAUGGAGGGGGAUAACUACUGGAAACGGUAGCUAAUACCGCAUAACGUCGCAAGACCAAAGAGGGGGACCUUCGGGCCUCUUGCCAUCGGAUGUGCCCAGAUGGGAUUAGCUUGUUGGUGAGGUGAUGGCUCACCAAGGCGACGAUCCCUAGCUGGUCUGAGAGGAUGACCAGCCACACUGGAACUGAGACACGGUCCAGACUCCUACGGGAGGGAGCAGUGGGGAAUAUUGCACAAUGGGCGCAAGCCUGAUGCAGCCAUGCCGCGUGUAUGAAGAAGGCCUUCGUGUUGUAAAGUACUUUCAGCGGGGAGGAAGGUGUUGUGGUUAAUAACCGCAGCAAUUGACGUUACCCGCAGAAGAAGCACCGGCUAACUCCGUGCCAGCCGCCGCCGUAA